CACCAUCUUCCCCCUCCUCCCACAAGCAAGAGUUACAACUCUAACUAACAGAAUUUCUGACCCUAUAUGAUCCGGCUUCUGCCGAUCAACGGACCAAGUUACCCUAGGGAUAACAGCGCAAUCCCCUUUUAUAGCCCAUAUCGACAAGGGGGUUUACUACCUCGAUGUUGGAUCAGGACUUCCUAGUGCAGCCAUGUAUUGAGGGCAG
rnacentral:rRNA from 1 species